UGCACGGCGGGCGCCGUGUACACGUACCACGAGAAGCGCAAGGACACGGCCGCUUCCGGGUACGGCACGCAGCGGGUCCGUCUCGGCCGCGACGCCGUCAAGGACUUCGACUGUUGCUGCCUCUCGCUGCAGCCCUGCAGGGACCC